rnacentral:rRNA from 1 species
UACGUAGGAGGCGAGCGUUGUCCGGAUUUACUGGGCGUAAAGCGCGCGCAGGCGGCACUUCAAGUAAGGUGUGAAAUCUCCCUGCUCAACGGGGAGGGUGCACUUUAGACUGAGGAGCUAGAGGACGGUAGAGGGGGGUGGAAUUGCUGGUGUAGCGGUGAAAUGCGUAGAGAUCAGCAGGAACACCCGUGGCGAAGGCGGCUAUCUGGACGGUUUCUGACACUAAGACUCGAAAGCGUGGGGAGCAAACAGG